rnacentral:rRNA from 1 species
UACCAGCACCCCGAGUGGUCGGGACGAUUAUUGGGCCUAAAGCAUCCGUAGCCGGUUCUACAAGUCUUCCAUUAAAUCCACCUGCUUAACAGAUGGGCUGCGGAAGAUACUAUAGAGCUAGGAGGCGGGAGAGGCAAGCGGUACUCGAUGGGUAGGGGUAAAAUCCGUUGAUCCAUUGAAGACCACCAGUGGCGAAGGCGGCUCACUGGUCCGGUACUGACGCUGGAGGUGCGAAAGCGUGGGGAGCAAACAGG